UACGUAGGGGGGCUAGCGUUGUCCGGAAUCAUUGGGCGUAAAGCGCGUGUAGGCGGCCCGGUAAGUCCGCUGUGAAAGUCGGGGGCUCAACCCUCGAAUGCCGGUGGAUACUGUCGGGCUAGAGUACGGAAGAGGCGAGUGGAAUUCCUGGUGUAGCGGUGAAAUGCGCAGAUAUCAGGAGGAACACCAAUUGCGAAGGCAGCUCGCUGGGACGUCACUGACGCUGAGACGCGAAAGCGUGGGGAGCGAACAGG
rnacentral:rRNA from 1 species